GACGGAGGUUGCGAGCGUUGUUCGGAAUUACUGGGCGUAAAGGGAGCGCAGGCGGCUUGGUUAGUCCAAAGUGGAAGCCCGGGGCUUAACCUCGGAAGGGCUUUGGAUACUGCCAGGCUAGAGUACGUGAGAGGAGAGCGGAAUUCCAGGUGUAGCGGUGAAAUGCGUAGAUAUCUGGAGGAACACCGGUGGCGAAAGCGGCUCUCUGGCACGAGACUGACGCUGAGGCUCGAAAGCGUGGGGAGCGAACAGGAUUAGAUACCCCCGUA
rnacentral:rRNA from 1 species